rnacentral:rRNA from 1 species
GCUGGCGGCAGGCCUAACACAUGCAAGUCGAACGGAGUUAUAUUGUAGCUUGCUAUGGUAUAACUUAGUGGCAGACGGGUGAGUAAUGUAUAGGAAUCUACCUAGUAGUACGGAAUAAUUGUUGGAAACGGCAACUAAUACCGUAUACGCCCUACGGGGGAAAAAUUUAUUGCUAUUAGAUGAGCCUAUAUUAGAUUAGCUAGUUGGUGGAGUAAUAGCCUACCAAGGCAAUGAUCUAUAGCUGAUCUGAGAGGAUGAUCAGCCACACUGGAACUGAGAUACGGUCCAGACUCCUACGGGAGGCAGCAGUGGGGAAUAUUGGACAAUGGGCGAAAGCCUGAUCCAGCCAUGCCGCAUGAGUGAAGAAGGCCUUUGGGUUGUAAAGCUCUUUUAGUGAGGAAGAUAAUGACGGUACUCACAGAAGAAGUCCUGGCUAACUCCGUGCCAGCAGCCGCGGUAAUACGGAGAGGGCUAGCGUUAUUCGGAAUUAUUGGGCGUAAAGGGCGCGUAGGCGGAUUAGUAAGUUAAAAGUGAAAUCCCAAGGCUCAACCUUGGAAUUGCUUUUAAAACUGCUAAUCUAGAGAUUGAAAGAGGAUAGAGGAAUUCCUAGUGUAGAGGUGAAAUUCGUAAAUAUUAGGAGGAACACCAGUGGCGAAGGCGUCUAUCUGGUUCAAAUCUGACGCUGAGGCGCGAAAGCGUGGGGAGCAAACAGGAUUAGAUACCCUGGUAGUC